rnacentral:rRNA from 1 species
GCAUAUAAGUAAGCGGAGGAAUAAGAAACUAAAUAGGAUCCCCUUAGUAAUGGCGAAUGAACAGGGGUUAGCUCAGCAUUAGAAUCGGAGCCCUGUGGCUUUGAAUUGUAGUCUGGAGAUUCACAGCCAACAGGGGUGCAAGCGUAAGCCUCUUGGAAAAGAGCACCAGUGAGGGUGAGAGUCCUGUGUGUCGCUUGCAGCCCCCUGUGCACGGCGUGGAUUCUGCGAGUCACGCUCCUCGGGAUUGGAGCGCAAAGUGGGUGGUACAUUUCAUCCAAAGCUGAAUAUAGGUUUGAGACCGAUAGCAGACAAGUACCAUGAGGGAAAGGUGAAAAGGACUUUGAAAAGAGAGUUAAAGAGAGCCUGCCAUUGCUGAAAGGGAAGCGAAUGUGACCAGUAUGACUUUGCGAGAUUGUCGCAUGCUAAGGGUAGGGUCUAUGUAGGCAGCGCAAGCGUCUGCAUGGAUUUCGAUCUGGACGCAUGUGGUGCUUCUUGCUUUGUUGGUCAGCGCUGGUGCGCAGCAUGGGGAAAAACGCGAGGGCAUGGAAACUCUCCUUCGGGGGUGUGAAUGCGCUUGUUUGUACCUGUGCGUGUACUGGUCUUUGUUGACUAAAUGGUCUCAUUCGGCCCGUCUUGAAACACGGACCAAGGAGUCUAACACAUGUGCGAGUUCUUGGGUUGUUAAACCUACGAGCGCAAUGAAAGUGACUGCUGGGAUUUCUGCGCCAGCAACUGACCAAUCGAUUUGGAGAGGUUUGAGUAUGAGCAUAUCUGUUAGGACCCGAAAGAUGGUGAACUAUGCCUGUGAAGGGUAAACUCAGGGGAAACUCUGAUGGAGGCUCGUAGCGAUACUGACGUGCAAAUCGUUCGUCAUACAUGGGUAUGGGGGCGAAAGACUAAUCGAACCAUCUAGUAGCUGGUUCCCUCCGAAGUUUCCCUCAGGAUAGCUGGAGUUGUACAGUUUUAUCAGGUAAAGCGAAUGAUUAGAGGAAUCGGGGACGCGUUGUCCUCGACCUAUUCUCAAACUUUAAAUGGGUAAGAUCCAGUUGUUACUUGAUUGAACUUCUGGGAUACAUGGUAACUCUAAGUGGGCCAUUUUUGGUAAGCAGAACUGGCGAUGAGGGAUGAACCUAACGCUGGGUUAAGGUGCUUAAUUUCUCGCUCAUCAGAUACCAUAAAGGGUGUUGGUUCAUUCUAACAGCAGGACGGUGGUCAUGGAAGUCGAAAUCCGCUAAGGAGUGUGUAACAA